UAUCUACUCCCUCCGUCCCAAAAUUCUUGUCUUAGAUUUGUCUAAAUACGGAUAUAUCAAGUCACAUUUUAGUAUUAGAUACAUCCGUAUCUAGACAAAUCUAAGACAAGAAUUUUGGGACAGAGGGAGUAUUUU
rnacentral:pre_miRNA from 1 species